ACAGGCUGGUCGGGGGGAGCUUCCGGAGGUCGUGUGGCGAGCUGGGCGAGUGGUUGGGUGGAGAACCGAAGUGUGUGUUGGGUCCAGAGGAUGCCUACAGCACCAUAGGCUCCGAUAGUAGUAGUAGUAGUAGUAGUAGUGUGAGUACUACUUCUACUUCUACCGCUAGCAACACCGGCCUCUACAUCGGACUAUUCUUCGGGCUCAUCCUGGCGAUAGUCUUCAUAGGAGUGCUAGUCUACUUCAGAAUGAAGCAGCGAAGAGAAGGAGGAGGAGGAGGAGGAGGAGGAGGAGGAUGGAAG